rnacentral:rRNA from 1 species
GACGAACGCUGGCGGCGUGCUUAACACAUGCAAGUCGAACGGAAAGGCCCUGCUUUUGUGGGGUGCUCGAGUGGCGAACGGGUGAGUAACACGUGAGUAACCUGCCCUUGACUUUGGGAUAACUUCAGGAAACUGGGGCUAAUACCGGAUAGGAGCUCCUGCUGCAUGGUGGGGGUUGGAAAGUUUCGGCGGUUGGGGAUGGACUCGCGGCUUAUCAGCUUGUUGGUGGGGUAGUGGCUUACCAAGGCUUUGACGGGUAGCCGGCCUGAGAGGGUGACCGGCGACAUUGGGACUGAGAUACGGCCCAGACUCCUACGGGAGGCAGCAGUGGGGAAUAUUGCACAAUGGGCGGAAGCCUGAUGCAGCAACGCCGCGUGCGGGAAGACGGCCUUCGGGGUGUAAACCGCUUUCGCCUGUGACGAAGCGUGAGUGACGGUAAUGGGUAAAGAAGCACCGGCUAACUACGUG